UAUGCACUGUUUGUACACGAGGUCCAUUGUUUCUUUUAACAGACUAUGUCCAGAAACCAGUAUUUUAUCAGUGUUCUACUGCCCCAGUGCUAAACACGUGAAUGGAGCCAAACUGGGUCACUGUGGGUCUAAAUAACAUCUGUUAAGGCUGUCACUGAUGUCCACAGGCAUUAAUGCAGAGACUGACCCUGUGACCCGAUGUGACCAGAUGAAUGCAACUGAAGAGUGUACAUCAAAAUAGUCAGACUUUUAAUUGACAAACGCAGAAGCUGCUAUAUUCAAAGUGCACAUUCACACAGGACCUUUGUUUUCUUCACAGGAUACAUCUGGGGAUGAUGUGCAGUGUCUGCUGCAGCAGGUCCAUGAGUCCAGACCUCAGACCGACAGAGUGGCUCACAAGAGUUUGAGGUGGAUGUGGUGAUUCCAGAGCGACCAGUGACUGUUGGGACAAGGAGCCCAGAACGUCCAAACUAGGAGACAUUCUGCUGUAGCACAGCGGCCCAGAUAUGAGGUCAGCAAGGAUGCACCCACUGCCUAAACAACUGGGCCCUCAAUAACACAGGCCUGCAGAAGGUAGGAUCCAGGCAGCAGCACCAGUUACGUCACACAGGCCCACCCGGUGGAUCGGCAUUACACCAGACUCCAAGCCUCUCCUGGGCCCUCGCUACUCUGUGGUGCUGCAGCCAGAUGUUGUCAUCUGCACAGAUCCUCUAUAAUGCUCUAACCCCCAUGGAGGAAACAAAGUGUGUUGAGCUCUCAGAUACCACUUUGCUGCUCAGUGACGACUGUCUCCACACACACACA